CAUAUAUUAAUAUAAUAAUUCAGUUUGAUGUUAUAAUUCAUGUACUAAGGUUGUUUGGCAUGUAAUAUCAUGAUAAGGUUUGUAAAGAACGACGCAACAUCAUGUAUUUAAAAUCAUUCGUGUUCUGAGCUUGAUUGGCAUAUAUUAUAAUAAUUCAGUUUGAUGUACGUUAUAAUUCAUGUACUAAGGUUGUUUGGCAUGUAAUAUCAUGAUAAGGUUUCUAAAGAACGACGCAACAUCAUUUAUUUAAAAUCAUUCGUGUUCUGAGCUUGAUUGGCAUAUAUUAUAAUAAUUCAGUUUGAUGUUAUAAUUCAUGUACUAAGGUUGUUUGCCAUGUAAAAUUAUGAUAAGGUUUCUAAAGAACGAAGGAACAUCAUGUAUUUAAAAUCAUUCGUGUUCUGAGCUUGAUUGGCA